GACGAACGCUGGCGGCGUGCUUAACACAUGCAAGUCGAACGGAAAGGCCCUGCUUUUGUGGGGUGCUCGAGUGGCGAACGGGUGAGUAACACGUGAGUAACCUGCCCUUGACUUUGGGAUAACUUCAGGAAACUGGGGCUAAUACCGGAUAGGAGCUCCUGCUGCAUGGGGGGGGUUGGAAAGUUCCGGCGGUGUGGGAUGGACUCGCGGCUUAUCAGCUUGUUGGGGGGGUAGUGGCGUACCAAGCCUUUGACGGAUAGCCGGCCUGAGAGGGUGACCGGGCACAUUGGGACUGAGAGACGGCGCAGAAUCGUACGGGCGGCAGCGGUGGGGAAUAUUGCACAGUGGGGGGGCGCCUGAUGCGGAAGCGCCGCGUGCGGGAUGACGUGCUUCGGGUUGUAAACCGCUUUCGCCGGUAACGUGGAGUGAGUGACGGUAAUGAGUCAAGAAGCACCGGCUAACUACGUG
rnacentral:rRNA from 1 species